rnacentral:rRNA from 1 species
GAAAGUAAAUAAGGGCGCAUGGCGGAUGCCUUGGCUCUCGGAGGCGAUGAAGGACGUGAUAAGCUGCGAUAAGCUUUGGGGAGGUGCAAAUGACCUUUGAUCCAGAGAUUUCCGAAUGGGACAACCCAAUAUCUUGAAGAGGUAUUAUCCAACUUUGUUGGAGGCUAACGCAGGGAACUGAAACAUCUUAGUACCUGCAGGAAAAGAAAAUAAAUAAUGAUUCCCCUAGUAGUGGCGAGCGAACGGGGAUUAGCCCAAACCACCCAUGUUACGGCAUGUGUGGGGUUGUAGGACCACGCUCUCGCAAGACAGUUAUUGAGAAGAAACGACUGGAAAGUCGUGCCAUAGACGGUGAUAGCCCGGUAUUCUAAGGUAACCGAAGCGUAGUGGUAUCCUGAGUAGCGCGGAGCACGAGGAAUUCUGCGUGAACCAGCCGGGACCAUCCGGUAAGGCUAAAUACUCCCGAGAGACCGAUAGCGAACCAGUACUGUGAAGGAAAGGUGAAAAGCACUUCGAAUAGAAGAGUGAAAUAGUCCCUGAAACCAUGCGCCUACAAGCGGUCGGAGCAGCUUAAGUUGUGACGGCGUGCCUUUUGCAUAAUGAACCUACGAGUUACUUUUUCCGGCAAGGUUAAGCAUCUUGAGAUGUGGAUCCGAAGCGAAAGCGAGUCUGAACAGGGCGGAUAGUCGGAAGGAGUAGACGCGAAACCAAGUGAUCUACCCUUGGGCAGGUUGAAGGUUAGGUAACACUAACUGGAGGACCGAACCGAUAAGCGUUGAAAAGCUUCCGGAUGACCUGAGGGUGGGGGUGAAAGGCUAAUCAAACUUGGAGAUAGCUCGUACUCCCCGAAAUGCAUUUAGGUGCAGCCUUGCGGGUUACUGAUGUGAGGUAGAGCGACUGAUAAGAUGCGAGGGCUUCACCGCCUAUCAAGUCUUGAUAAACUCCGAAUGCGCAUUAGUUCUAUCUCAGGAGUGAGGGCAUGGGUGCUAAGGUCCAUGUCCUAAAGGAGAAGAAUCCAGACCAUCAGCUAAGGUCCCCAAAUAAACACUAAGUUGAACUAACGAAGUCAGAUUGCUAAGACAGCUAGGAUGUUGGCUUGGAAGCAGCCAUUCAUUUAAAGAGUGCGUAACAGCUCACUAGUCGAGGAGUUUGGCGUGGAUAAUAAUCGGGCAUUAAGUGUUUUACCGAAGCUAUGGGAUACGUAAGUAUCGGUAGGGGAGCAUUCCACUCAGCGUUGAAGGCGAAGCGUGAGCUUUACUGGAGCGUGUGGAAAAGCAAAUGUAGGUAUAAGUAACGAUAAAGGGGGUGAGAAACCCCCUCGCCGCAAGACUAAGGUUUCCUGAUCAACGCUAAUCGGAUCAGGGUUAGUCGGGUCCUAAGGCUCAGCCGAACGGUGAGGCCGAUGGCAGAACAGGUUAAUAUUCCUGUACUACCUAUAGGAGUGAUGUGGAGACGGAGGAGUGACAACGCCGCGGACUGACGGAAUAGUCCGUUAAAGGGUGUAGAUGUUGAUUAUCCCAGGCAAAUCCGGGAUAAGAGUCGAACCUGAUAGUAUACCAAUUUCCUCGGAAAACGGUAAUAGUGCGUGUAAACAUACUCCCAAGAAAAUCCGCUAAACUUAAUCUUAUAGGUACCCGUACCGUAAACGGACACACGUAGUCGGGUUGAAUAUACUCAGGCGCUUGAGUGAAUCACGGUUAAGGAACUAGGCAAAUUGACCCUGUAACUUCGGGAUAAAGGGUCCCUACCCGGUGACGGGAGGGCGCAGAGAAUAGGUCCAGGCAACUGUUUAACAAAAACACAGGGCUGUGCAAAAUUGAAAGAUCACGUAUACAGCCUGACACCUGCCCGGUGCUGGAAGGUUAAGAGGAGAUGUCAUCGCAAGAGAAGCAUUGAAUUGAAGCCCCAGUAAACGGCGGCCGUAACUAUAACGGUCCUAAGGUAGCGAAAUUCCUUGUCGGGUAAGUUCCGACCUGCACGAAUGGUGUAAUGAUCUGGACGCUGUCUCAACCGUGAGCUCAGUGAAAUUGUAGUAUCGGUGAAGAUGCCGAUUACCCGCGAUGGGACGAAAAGACCCCGUGAACCUUUACUAUAGCUUAACAUUGAAUUUGGGUAAUUGAUGUGUAGGAUAGGCCGGAGACUUUGAAGCAGGCACGCCAGUGUUUGUGGAGUCGCUGUUGAAAUACGGCCCUUUGGUUAUUUGAGUUCUAACUCGCUGAUGCGAGGACACUGUUUGGUGGGUAGUUUGACUGGGGUGGUCGCCUCCAAAAGCGUAACGGAGGCUUCUA